rnacentral:rRNA from 1 species
AAAUGAAUUGACGGGGACCCGCACAAGCAGCGGAGCAUGUGGUUUAAUUCGAAGAUACGCGAAGAACCUUACCAAGGCUUGACAUCCCUUGACCGGCGCAGAGAUGCGCAAUUCUGUAGUAAUACAGACAAGGAGACAGGUGGUGCAUGGUUGUCGUCAGCUCGUGUCGUGAGAUGUUCGGUUAAGUCCGGCAACGAGCGCAACCCUUAUGAUAUGUUGCCAUCAUUAAGUUGGGAACUCAUAUCAGACUGCCGUGGACAACACGGAGGAAGGCGGGGAUGACGUCAAAUCAUCAUGCCCCUUACGUCUUGGGCUACACACGUGCUACAAUGGGCGCAACAAAGAGCAGCGAGCCGGUAACGGUAAGCGAAUCUCAAAAAAGCGUUCUCAGUUCAGAUUGAGGGCUGCAACCCGCCCUCAUGAAGCAGGAGUUGCUAGUAAUCGCGAAUCAGAAUGUCGCGGUGAAUGCGUUCCCGGGUCUUGUACACACCGCCCGU